AGGACGAACGCUGGCGGCGUGCUUAACACAUGCAAGUCGAGCGGAAAGGCCCUUCGGGGUACUCGAGCGGCGAACGGGUGAGUAACACGUGAGUAAUCUGCCCCUAGCUCUGGGAUAGCUCCGGGAAACCGGGAUUAAUACCAGAUACGACCACUUUAGACAUCUUCUGUGGUGGAAAGAACUUCGGCUAGGGAUGAACUCGCGGCCUAUCAGCUUGUUGGUGAGGUAACGGCUCACCAAGGCGACGACGGGUAGCCGGCCUGAGAGGGCGACCGGCCACACUGGGACUGAGACACGGCCCAGACUCCUACGGGAGGCAGCAGUGGGGAAUAUUGCGCAAUGGGCGAAAGCCUGACGCAGCGACGCCGCGUGGGGGAUGAAGGCCUUCGGGUUGUAAACCCUUUCAGCAGGGACGAAGCGAAAGUGACGGUACCUGCAGAAGAGCGCCGGCUAACUACGUGCCAGCAGCCGC
rnacentral:rRNA from 1 species